UUCUGUAGGCUACUAAUAUGUUAAUUAGCUCUCGGAGUGUGCGACCCUAUUGGCUCUUCGUCCGAGUCAAUUUCCCAUUUCCAGCCUGACGUCAGGGCAGCAGCCUUAAACUCAUCUGCUGUGUGUGAUCCCUCUAAAAAAUCGCCCCACCAGUCAGCGGCUUAUAACGUGCGAGGCUGCAUUUACUCCCUUUACUUUCGGCUUUUCUCCCUCUCCGCUUGCGCAAUGUAUUCAUGAGGAAACCGUAAAGUGUUAAAUGUUUGAAAUACAAAACCGCCGAAUUGCACAUGCUGAAAAAGGACUCCGCUACUCGUGCGCGCGGCACUGGUGUGUCUGUGCAAUAGACUCUGCAAAGAAAAACUACUCUCGCACGCCUGCAAGUCCGUGGCUGCAAAAAGGACGCUGAAAGCCGCAUUUUUCAGUUUCAAGACAAACGUUUAAAAAUCAAACUGGCUCACGUUCUUCCCAACCAACCCAGUUUGACAGCUGCGCUUCACCCCGUUUGGAGGACUGUCAGCAGCAAGAGGAUGGCAUCAGAGCUGGCAAUGAGCAACUCCGACCUGCCCACCAGUCCCCUGGCCAUGGAAUAUGUUAAUGACUUCGAUCUGAUGAAGUUUGAAGUGAAAAAGGAGCCGGUGGAGCCCGAUCGCAACAUCAGCCAGUGCAGUCGCCUUAUCGCCGGGGGAUCCUUGUCUUCCACCCCGAUGAGCACGCCGUGCAGCUCGGUGCCCCCUUCCCCAAGCUUCUCGGCACCCAGUCCGGGCUCGGGGAGCGAGCAGAAGACACACAUAGAGGAUUUCUACUGGAUGUCCGGUUAUCAACAGCAGUUGAAUCCAGAGGCGCUGGGCUUCAGCCCCGAAGACGCAGUCGAGGCGCUGAUCAACAGCAGUCACCAGCUCCAGUCAUUCGAUGGCUACGCCAGGGGCCAGCAGUUUGCUGGCGCAGCCGGAGCAGGAGGCACCAUGGCCGGGGAAGAGAUGGGGUCCGCCGCGGCGGUUGUGUCGGCAGUCAUCGCUGCGGCAGCUGCUCAGAACGGAGGGCAGCACCACCAUCACCACCAUCACCACCACAGCAGCAACCACCACCAAGCAACUGGCAUCCAGUCCAACGGCACUUCUGGGACAAUUCACCCACACAUGCGCUUGGAGGAGCGGUUUUCGGACGACCAGCUGGUCACCAUGUCAGUGCGGGAGCUCAACCGGCAGCUACGGGGGGUCAGCAAGGAAGAAGUGAUCCGAUUGAAACAGAAGAGGAGGACCCUAAAGAACAGAGGCUACGCGCAGUCCUGCCGGUACAAGAGGGUCCAGCAGCGGCACGUCCUGGAGGGAGAAAAGACGCAACUCAUCCAGCAGGUCGAUCACCUAAAGCAGGAGAUCUCCAGGCUGGUCCGGGAGAGGGACGCGUACAAAGAAAAGUAUGAGAAGCUCAUCAGCAACGGCUUCAGAGAAAAUGGAUCCAGCAGCGACAACAACCCUUCAUCUCCGGAGUUUUUCAUGUCAUCGAGAAAAUUCCUCCAUCUGUGAUUUCAAGCCCCAUCCCUCCGUGCCCUUGGCUCUCUGAGACUGGUGUGUUGGGUCCUGAGAAAGUCAACUGGCAGAUCUGCACUUCCUCUUCUGCCAGUAACCUGCCAUACAGCCCUCCGGCAAACUUCCAUGAAACACAAAUAACCUAACGACUGAGCAGUGACGACGUCAGAGCGGCUGACCAAUCGCGCACGAAGACACCUACAAAGCACAACAUUCAAAAAUGACUUCACUGAAGAACAACAGACGAGACCUGCUGAAAAUCCCUCAAAAUCCCUACAGUGAAAUUCUUGAAAGCUACUUACUACUCCUGUCUCCCUCCCUGAUAUUUUACCUCCAGCUUUUUUCUACAAAACACGAAAAAACGGAAAAAAAAAACAACAACAAAAAAACAAAAAACAGACAGACUCAUACUCAUGAGAUGGUUGACGAUGCCAGAUAAAUACACUGGAAGGACUAUUUUCUCUUUGGUGGGAAGAUCAUUGAUGCAUGCUCCUGUAAAUAGAUCAUAAUAAAACCCUAUUCUUAUUCCUAAUAUAGGAAAACAUACAAAGUCGCUCUCACCAACUUCAUAAACCUUCAUGACUGUGGAUAGAGUACUCAUGAUUCAAUAUUUUCCAUAUGAAGUCAGUAUUCUUCUUACCUCCUCAAAAAACAUGUAAUUAUCAUUUCCAAUAUCAUUUCUCUACUCUUUGGAGUUAUUUGGACUAUAAAAAUUGUACUUCCUAUUCUUCUUAUUCUCUUUACAUAACGGCCUAGUCUUCCUCUCCAAUAUCCACAUUAGUACAUGUAAAUAGAAAUGAAUGAAGACAACAGCAUGGAACAGACUCUAGUGUAUAUUUACCACUCCCCUAGUAGAUCACAAAUCUCAAUAUGUGGAUAUUUCAGACAAACCUUUUUAAAAGUUUAAAAUACUUGUUUUCUGGUAGUUAAAGGCAUAGUCCCAGGUAUCAGGACACUUUUCCUAAGUAUUUGAAUAGAUAAAGACAUUAGCUAUAGGUAAUAUUAUUUGACUACCUUACAAAGAUUAGAAAGCAGCAAUUUCUUUGGUAUCAUCAAUCAGUUCUACAAUGAAACAAACGGUCAAACUGAAGAGGAAAAGCAGGCAAUUCACCCACGCCAUGAGUCUUCCUUGGCACUACUAAAAAGUAUUUUUAACCUUUUAUAUUUUAUUUUAUACGUUUGUUUACAAUUUGUCUCCCGAUGUGUACCUAUUUAUUCUUUUCCAUGGCAAUAAUUGUCCUCUCCGUCCCCAUGAGUGGGUUGUAAUUGCUGAAGUAAAGUUGUCGUCAGCGCUGAGAGGGCCACUUUUUUUCUUUGCAUGGUUUGAAACGGCGCUCCGAUCCUGAGCCUACACAUGGGGGAAAAGAACACCUCACCUCCAUCUUCUACAGACUAUGAAGAUAACCCAAUGGACUGAUAAUAUGCCAAGCCAAUGAACAGACAACCUCAGAGGUUACCCCAUCACUGGUGAAGACAGAACAAACCUUUGCAUGGACAACAGGGAAUAUACUACUGUAGGUUGUUGAACACCUCAUCUCCACCAUCGUGCAUCCUCUACCUCUCAGUGUGUGCUGUGCAAUCCAGAAAAUCAUGACUCAUUACUCUACUAUUCUACUGUCCCCACAGUCCAUGUCUCUGCUGCAUGUUCCUAGAGCUUCAUGAGGAGAGUAUCGCUCAGCGUUUAACGCUACUGAUGGACGCAACAUGGCAACGGGGAAAACAGAACAAACACACUUGUUCACUUUGACACAAACACUCACACGUACAAGCGCAUGCAUACAGAUGCACAAUCAUACACAGCGCCACUCAAAUAUGUUGCUGUAUAUAUGUACAGUAUAUCCACUAUGUAUAGUCUCAGAUGCUGUACUUUGCAUGUUGACUUGUAGAUGGAACGUGACCAUUAUUCAUAGAAGAGGUUGUGCAGGUAGGCAUAGUCACUGAAAUGACUUUCUAAACCAAUGCAAGCUCUUUGUCAGCUUUACAUCUCCUUACUUUGAUGAGAAAAUACAUAGUUUUACUGACCCUGUUCUUAUUGUUUAAGGUUUGACAGGUUUUAAACUCUUUAAAGGGACACGUAACCUCACCUUUGAUGUCAGACAGAACCUGGCCACAGUGAGCGUGGUUAGGAGAAGAGAGGAGGGAAGGCAAACUGGGGCGCUCCAAUUAAGUGGCAGCACACAAAGUGGCAUGGGGCAUCCUGCCAGCAACUGUCUAUUCAUCCUAUGUCAAAGGGAUUUGCACAUCCCAAUGAGUGUACGCACUGCCAGAGAAGUCCGAGAGCAGAGCGGAGGAGAGCAGAGAAAGGAAGUGAGGCCCAUGGAAAAGAAUGAGGAAAAAAAAGAGACUAUUUUAACUCAAAAUCUAAGGUUGUAUUGCACUUAUAUUCAGAUUAUUCUCCUAUAGAAUAUUCUCCUCGGACCAGCAGCCACUUUACAGAGUUUGGUAACCCCCUGACCUCGAGCAUCAUGAAGCUCUCUUAGUUGUCAUGACCUCACGUCCUCUCUGAGGUUAACUUUGUGUUAAUGAGCAUGGCCCUCAGCUCAACCAGAUGUUCAGCCUUGUGGUUAAAUACUUGUUACCCUUCCAUCCCAAUGAUUCUUCAAUGUCUUCCCACUGCAGCUGUACUCUUGAAAAAUCAUAUUAAAUAGUGAGAAAUUAGAUUACUUUUUCACUGAUAAUCAAGUGGAUCAAUCGUAGGUGUGUCCUUUUACCAAGAAAAACUGUCAUUGUGCAGCCAGUUUGAAAUGAAGAAAUCUUCUUAAUUCAAGUACUGUCUAAGCAUACUGAAUCAUAUGAGGGUAUUUACAGUCAACAUGUAAACAAACUUCAAAUUAGGACUUAUGACUGAGCAGUGAUUAGUUAAAGAAGAUUUAAAAUACAGGAAGGAUGAAGACGUCACUCAAACAUGAGACGUUGUAUGCGGUAGGAAAUAAGACAUUGAGCAAGUGCUGAUCUUCUCUGAGCCUCAAGGCUUUCCACAUUCUUAGAAGUCAAACAAAGCCCUGUUUCUGCGCAGCUGCAGGCGACGUGACGGGUUGAUUUGUCGUUUCUGUACGUUUGAAUGCAAGUACUGUAUUGUUCUGCCCUGAUCGCCAGGCAGCAUGAGCGCUUUUACCUGGCAAUGACCCAGGGUCAAUACAUGUACGUAAACAAGCGUAGACCACAUAUUCAUAUACAGAACGUGGACACAAACACACAGAGGUGCAUCCUUACUCUCUCUCUCUCUCUCUCUCUCUCACUCACACAC